rnacentral:rRNA from 1 species
GACAGAGGGUGCAAACGUUGUUCGGAAUUACUGGGCGUAAAGCGAGUGUAGGCGGUUUCGUAAGUCGGAUGUGAAAGCCCCGGGCUCAACCCGGGAAGUGCACUCGAUACUGCGAGGCUAGAGUAUCGGAGAGGUUGGUGGAAUUCUCGGUGUAGAGGUGAAAUUCGUAGAUAUCGAGAGGAACACCGGUGGCGAAGGCGGCCAACUGGACGAAUACUGACGCUGAGGUGCGAAAGCGUGGGGAGCAAACAGG